rnacentral:rRNA from 1 species
AGAGGGUGCGAGCGUUGUUCGGAAUUACUGGGCGUAAAGCGCGCGCAGGCGGCCUUUUAAGUCUGACGGUGAAAUGCCGGGGCUCAACCCCGUGCCCGCCGGAGAUACUGGGAGGCUGGAGACGAGUAGAGGCAAGCGGAAUUCCGGGUGUAGCGGUGGAAUGCGUAGAGAUCCGGAAGAACACCGGAGGCGAAGGCGGCUUGCUGGGCUCUGUCUGACGCUGAGGCGCGAAAGCGUGGGGAGCGAACAGGAUUAGAUACCCUGGUAGUCCACGCCGUAAACGAUGGGCACUAGACGCGGGUGGGAUCGACCCCUUCCGUGUCGCAGCUAACGCGAUAAGUGCCCCGCCUGGGGAGUACGGCCGCAAGGCUG